GGAUCAUUACUGAGUUUACGCUCUACAACCCUUUGUGAACAUACCUAUAACUGUUGCUUCGGCGGGUAGGGUCUCCGUGACCCUCCCGGCCUCCCGCCCCCGGGCGGGUCGGCGCCCGCCGGAGGAUAACCAAACUCUGAUUUAACGACGUUUCUUCUGAGUGGUACAAGCAAAUAAUCAAAACUUUUAACAACGGAUCUCUUGGUUCUGGCAUCGAUGAAGAACGCAGCGAAAUGCGAUAAGUAAUGUGAAUUGCAGAAUUCAGUGAAUCAUCGAAUCUUUGAACGCACAUUGCGCCCGCCAGCAUUCUGGCGGGCAUGCCUGUUCGAGCGUCAUUUCAACCCUCAAGCUCUGCUUGGUGUUGGGGCCCUACAGCUGAUGUAGGCCCUCAAAGGUAGUGGCGGACCCUCCCGGAGCCUCCUUUGCGUAGUAACUUUACGUCUCGCACUGGGAUCCGGAGGGACUCUUGCCGUAAAACCCCCAAUUUUCCAAAGGUUGACCUCGGAUCAGGUAGGAAUACCCGCUGAACUUAAGCAUAUCAAUAAGCGGAGGAAAAGAAACCAACAGGGAUUGCCUCAGUAACGGCGAGUGAAGCGGCAACAGCUCAAAUUUGAAAUCUGGCCCUAGGCCCGAGUUGUAAUUUGCAGAGGAUGCUUUUGGUGCGGUGCCUUCCAAGUUCCCUAGAACGGGACGCCAGAGAGGGUGAGAGCCCCGUACAGUUGGACACCAAGCCUUUGUAAAGCUCCUUCGACGAGUCGAGUAGUUUGGGAAUGCUGCUCAAAAUGGGAGGUAUAUUUCUUCUAAAGCUAAAUACCGGCCAGAGACCGAUAGCGCACAAGUAGAGUGAUCGAAAGAUGAAAAGCACUUUGAAAAGAGGGUUAAACAGCACGUGAAAUUGUUAAAAGGGAAGCGCUUGUGACCAGACUUGCGUCCGGUGAAUCACCCAGCUCUCGCGGCUGGGGCACUUCGCCGGCUCAGGCCAGCAUCAGCUCGCUGUCGGGGACAAAAGCUUCAGGAACGUAGCUCUCUUCGGGGAGUGUUAUAGCCUGUUGCAUAAUACCCUUCGGCGGGCUGA
rnacentral:ncRNA from 2 species